rnacentral:rRNA from 1 species
CCUACGGGUGGCAGCAGUGGGGAAUAUUGCACAAUGGGGGGAACCCUGAUGCAGCGACGCCGCGUGGGUGAAGGAGUAUUUCGGUAUGUAAAGCCCUAUCAGCAGGGAAGAACAAUGACGGUACCUGACUAAGAAGCACCGGAUAAAUACGUGCCAGCAGCCGCGGCAAUACGUGUGGUGCCAGCGUUAUCCGGAUUUACUGGGUGUUAAGGGAGCGCAGGCGGGGCGUUAAGCUCGGUGUGAAAGUGCGCGGCCCAACCGCGGGACUGCAUUGGGAACUGGCGCGCGGGAGUGCCGGAGGGGUAGGCGGAAUGCCUAGUGUAGCGGUGAAAUGCGUAGAUAUUAGGAGGAACACCAGUGGCGAAGGCGGCCUACUGGACGGUGACUGACGCUGAGGCUCGAAAGCGUGGGGAGCAAACAGGAUUAGAUACCCUUGUAGUC